GAAUCCUGCUGAGAGGUGGGGGUGCCCGAAAGGGAGCCGUAACACAGGUGCUGCAUGGCUGUCGUCAGCUUGUGUCGUGAGAUGUUGGGUUAAGUCCCGCAACGAGCGCAACCCUUGUCCCCAGUUGCUACGCAAGAGCACUCCGGGGAGACUGCCGGUGACAAACCGGAGGAAGGUGGGGAUGACGUCAAGUCCUCAUGGCCCUUAUGGGUAGGGCUUCACACGUCAUACAAUGGUCGGAACAGAGGGUUGCGAAGCCGCGAGGUGGAGCCAAUCCCAGAAAACCGAUCGUAGUCCGGAUCGCAGUCUGCAACUCGACUGCGUGAAGGUGGAAUCGCUAGUAAUCGCGGAUCAGCAUGCCGCGGUGAAUACGUUCCCGGGUCUUGUACACACCGCCC
rnacentral:rRNA from 1 species